AUGACUUUUGAAACAUCAUCAUCAUUAAACAAUGGUCAGAUGCUUAUGUGAUUUACCUGAAUCGAUUCGCGAUUGUUUCUCCGGUUUAAUCGAUUCCGAAGCUGUUGAAAUCUGGAGCCGGAUUUGAUGAUUAAUUCGAAAUCGCCGGGUGGUCAGAUGCUUAUGUGACUCCAUCUUACAUGAAAAACGGCUAGCUAACUAGAGGUAACAUACUGUAAGACGAAAAGGGUGAAGAAGAAGAUGAAGCGAAUAAUUUUUCUCGACGAUUUAUUGAAAGACACGUGGCAUUCUCUCCCAUGUUGACGUGUCGUAAAACUGGAGAAAGUAAGCCAACUUUCAUAGUAUAGAUAAUCUCUCUUCUGACCUUUUGGUAUUUAAUUUCUUAACUUAGUGUCGACCACAUAUACAUUGGCAAUUGUUCUUUUCUCCCCGAUAAUGAUAAAUGAUAUAUGAUAUAUCCAUUAA